CACCACUCCCAACCUUAAAUUUUUAACCUGCUUAUUACAUGCAUAUUUUCCUUUAUAUCUUUGAAUAUUGGUUAUAAUAAUUUCUUUAAAAUCCUUGUCUGGUAAUUCCAACAUCUGGGUCAUCUUACUGUUAGUGUUUCUUGAUUGCAACUCAGUACUUGGUUGUGAAAUAAAAUUAAAGGGUUGUGGUCAGCAUUACAAGAGAAAAUGGAUGAAAAAUAGAAGUGUGAAAAGUGAAGAUGUUAUUUUAUGGAAAAUCACAUUGCUCAUAUAUACCACAUUUUCUUUAUCCACUCAUCUGUUGAUGAACAUUAAGGUGGUUUGGUUGUUGGCUGUUGUGACUAGUGCUGUAAUGAACAUAAGAGUGCUAAUAUGUCUUUCAGAUUCUGAUCUCAUUUUUUUGCGCAAGCCACCAUGGUGGCUAAUUUUCGUGUUCUUUUUGGACAAGAACUCAGCAAGGUUAGUUUGAUAAAGCUCAGCUGGUUGGAAAUUUGAGGAAUUUGAAGUUGAUUUGUUUUGAUCCUUGUUCUCUCUUGAACUGACAUCAUCAUGUGGGGUGAAGAACAAUCCCGGACAGAUAGAAGACAAUAAAUGUUAGGUAGUGUAUCAGCCAGGAUUCUUGGUUGUAAGCAACAGAAACUUACUCUGGUUUCCUUAAGUGGAAAAGGAAAUUAUUGGAUGGAUGUUAGUUCACAGAAUUGGCAGGAAGUUUGGAGGUGUCCUUUUAAGAAGAGGAGAUUAGCACACAGGCAUACACAGAGGAAAGACCAUGUGAAGACACAGGAAGAUGCUGAUCUAUAAGCCGAGAAGAGAUGUCUGCAUAUUA
rnacentral:lncRNA from 1 species